rnacentral:misc_RNA from 1 species
UUCGGCUUGCGCUUCCAUGCU